UAUUAAGUGAAUGGGGUUGUUGGUGAGUUUUAUCCCACAACAGGCAAUGUUUCUUCGUGAUCACCUCUGAAAAUCGCUAUUCAACUAAUUUCAUUGUGUCGAUCGGGAUUUGAAGUAAAAUAGAAAACACCAGGAGCAGCUCAAACAAAUGAAACAAUCGACUUUUUUCAUCAAUGAACAUUAUGUUUGUUCCUACCAGUUCAUGUUAAAUAAUAUAUCAAAAUACAAUCUUUU